AUGAUUCCUAGCUUCAUUUCUAUUUUCCCCAACCUGGAAACUCUUCAUGUCCAUUCCGCAGAAGGACAUCAAAUUGGUGCAAGCGUCAAUUCCAAGUUCUGGCAGGAGGGCGAUCCCAUUAAAUGUAGCUUGCAGACAUUGAGGAAUGUGUUCUUCUACGAGUUCCGAGGGUCGAGAAGUGAGAUUGACUUCCUCAAGUUCAUCGCUGAGGGAGCUGGGAUGCUGGAGAAGUUAGUGGUUCGAGUGGCCGGUGAAUGCUCGUCUUCCUUGAGUGUGGCUACCAGUCUGAACUUUCUCAGGUUUCGAAGCACAGUUUGCCGAUGUGAAGUCCUUCCGUGCCCAGGCUUGAGAGUGAGAACGCCACGGUACAAGUACAAAGCUUCCUAUGAUCUAUCUCUUAAGGACCCUUUGGAGAUGCCGUACGUAGUGGUACCACAAAUGUUUCGUUAA
rnacentral:rRNA from 1 species